CAAGAGAAGAUACUGAGGCCUGUUGCCACAAACCCGUAGAUCCGAACUUGUGGUGACAGUGCACACAAGCUCGUGUCUAUAGGUAUGUGUCUGUUAGGCAAUCGCACGAACCACGGGCCUUGCCUGUCU
ensembl:miRNA MIR100 microRNA 100